CACAAAACAAAUAAAGAUCAGUUGAUUACUUUCUUCGCAUUUGUUAUGAAAUACUAGUCUUCCAUUAUGUUGAUAUACUUGGAACACCUUAAUCUUGCUAGAAUUGAAUGCCAGGAGAUCUGCUUGCCUAAGCUAUCAGCUGACAUUGGGUUUCAAGGAUGGGUAGACAGAUGCAACACACAAGAAGAAAAACUAUAAAGAAGCCUAGAAAAUGUUCCUAUCACUGCCAACACAAGUGCACGUACAAAGUAAGUCAUCUGAGCAUAUAUUCCUCAAUCAUAAGCAUAACGAGGGGAUACUUGGUUGUAACAUAUCCAGAUGUUGUGGCUAUAUGGAUAUUUCUCCCAACAAACAACAGGAUAGAAUGAACUCCACAGGUUUGGACAAAAGAAAUCAGAAGUGUUUUCAUAGCUGAUGCUCAGCUGCUUUUCUGGGUCUUCCUUCUCAGGAUUUCAUUCAGAGUAAAAUUCAUGAUGAAAUGUACUUUUGGAUUGGGUGAACAUUACAGACCCACAGGAAACAUGGACCUGGUUUGACUGCACACCUUUAUACCAAGUUGUGAGUGCUUGGUAUUUGUAUAUGAUUAGGGAAAUGUAAGACCUCCAGAGAUCACACCCUACUGGUAGCUCUGGGGAACUUCAAGUGGUCAGAUGACUGCAGGAUGGAAGAGUUUGAUACCUGCUAAUAAGUGAAGGUUCAUAAAAUCUGUCUUAGAGAACUACAAGGAUCCUAAAAUAAGGUAUGGCCUCAUUUAGAAUUUCAAACCUGUCUGUGAGUUGCUUUUUUAAUCAGGUGACCUAAUAGUGCUAGAAAAGUAAGACCUGGCUUUUAAAUUUCUUUGAUCAGGCAGCUGCUGCUAAGUCAAUGAAUCUAUAGCUACUGUCAAUACCAUCAGAGAUCUGAGAAGGAAGUAUAAUCCAAAUGAUUUAUGUAUCAACUAAAAUGACAGGGUUGUUGCCCUGGGUUCUCAUUAGGCAGCAUUAGGAAGAAUGGGUGUAGGUUUUCAGCUAGCAUACAGGACAACAUUGGCCUUUUGCUUCCAGACCCAAGUCUGAGAGUAGGAACCUAGGGGACUGACUUGACUUUACAGAGUACAACAGUGAACUCAGCAGUGUCCACAAUUUGUUCACGGUCCCGGUCCCGAUGGCAGAUGAGGCAUGAGGUGGUAUUUCCCAGUGCUUAGCACUACCACAGUCCAGAUGGAGUAGUCAUGACCCAUCUGUCUUCUUCGGAAACCUCAGGGCUGCUUCUAGGAACUGGGAUUUCUGUCUGUCAAGGUGUUUUCUAUUAAAAAUUUAAAUGUCAUAUUCAGCAGAUCUCUAAAAGUUUUGAGGUCCGUCUAUUAAGUGAUUUUAAAUGAACUUUGUUUAUCUUUAGUUUCUUGUUCUAGGGUUAACAUUGGAAAUAUAUUCAGGAAGCUAAAGAAAGCAUGGGCCUAUAACUGAAUUAUAUUUGUAAGGAAUUUGAUAAGAUCUAAGCUGACUAUUAAUCUGCAUGCCUUAAUUAUCUUUAACAGUUUACAAGUUAAUAGCCUUUAUAAUAUUAGAACCCUACAAUUAUAUCCCUGUUAAGUUUAACCUUAAAAAGUUAUAACUCUUGAAUUGAAGUAUUGGGUUUUUUGGUAACCAAAUAAAAUGUUAAAUCAUAAAUACA
ensembl:lncRNA